UCCUGCAUCCCACUGGGAGGCGGGGGGGAGUGAGUGAGUGGCUGCAUGGUGCUUAGUUGCUGGCUGGGGUUAGACAACGACAGUCCUCUUCACUGUGCUAAAAAUCAUCAUUACCAGGCUUCUGCCCAGGUCUGUUAUGCAAUGUUUCCCUAAUGUUGUUGUGCAAGGCUUUUGCUACAGCUUCCAUGCUGCCUAGUGCAUCCUUUCCAGGAUGAAAACGAGGGUGACGGAAGCAGUUGGGCUGUUAUUCCUGCCUCAGGCAACAUCUGUGGGACUGCUUUUGCUCAAGGACCUGGGUGCACUUGGUGGGUGAUCCAGAAGAAUGGGGAAGUCCAAUGUGAGCCUCAAGGGGAUUUGAUUGUGGUAAGAAUCACGCAGAUUAAUGAAGAAUGAAUUUUGAU